GAUGAACGCUGGCGGCGUGCUUAACACAUGCAAGUCGAACGAAGAUGCCGGAGUGCUUGCACUUUGGCAGACUGAGUGGCGGACGGGUGAGUAACGCGUGGGUAACCUGCCUCAUACAGGGGGAUAACAGUUGGAAACGACUGCUAAUACCGCAUAAGCGCACGGUAUCGCAUGAUACAGUGUGAAAAACUCCGGUGGUAUAAGAUGGACCCGCGUCUGAUUAGCUUGUUGGUGAGGUAACGGCCCACCAAGGCGACGAUCAGUAGCCGGCCUGAGAGGGUGAACGGCCACAUUGGGACUGAGACACGGCCCAAAACUCCUACGGGAGGCAGCAGUGGGGAAUAUUGGCACAAUGGGGGAAACCCUGAUGCAGCGACGCCGCGUGAUUGAAGAAGUAUUUCGGUAUGUAAAACUCUAUCAGCAGGGAAGAUAAUGACGGUACCUGACUAAGAAGCACCGGCUAAAUACGUG
rnacentral:rRNA from 1 species